rnacentral:rRNA from 1 species
AUUGAACGCUGGCGGCAUGCUUUACACAUGCAAGUCGGACGGCAGCACAGAGAAGCUUGCUUCUUGGGUGGCGAGUGGCGAACGGGUGAGUAAUAUAUCGGAACGUACCGAGUAAUGGGGGAUAACUAAUCGAAAGAUUAGCUAAUACCGCAUAUUCUCUGAGGAGGAAAGCAGGGGACCUUCGGGCCUUGCGUUAUUCGAGCGGCCGAUAUCUGAUUAGCUAGUUGGUGGGGUAAAGGCCUACCAAGGCGACGAUCAGUAGCGGGUCUGAGAGGAUGAUCCGCCACACUGGGACUGAGACACGGCCCAGACUCCUACGGGAGGCAGCAGUGGGGAAUUUUGGACAAUGGGCGCAAGCCUGAUCCAGCCAUGCCGCGUGUCUGAAGAAGGCCUUCGGGUUGUAAAGGACUCUUGUCAGGGAAGAAAAGGCUGUUGCUAAUAUCGACAGCUGAUGACGGUACCUGAAGAAUAAGCACCGGCUAACUACGUG